rnacentral:rRNA from 1 species
AUGAACGCUGGCGGCGUGCCUAAUACCUGCCAGUCGAGCGAACAGACGAGGAGCUUGCUCCUCUGACGUUAGCGGCGGACGGGUGAGUAACACGUGGAUAACCUACCUAUAAGCCUGGGAUAACUUCGGGAAACCGGAGCUAAUACCGGAUAAUAUAUUGAACCGCAUGGUUCAAUAGUGAAAGACGGUUUUGCUGUCACUUAUAGAUGGAUCCGCGCCGCAUUAGCUAGUUGGUAAGGUAACGGCUUACCAAGGCAACGAUGCGUAGCCGACCUGAGAGGGUGAUCGGCCACACUGGAACUGAGACACGGUCCAGACUCCUACGGGAGGCAGCAGUAGGGAAUCUUCCGCAAUGGGCGAAAGCCUGACGGAGCAACGCCGCGUGAGUGAUGAAGGUCUUCGGAUCGUAAAACUCUGUUAUUAGGGAAGAACAAAUGUGUAAGUAACUAUGCACGUCUUGACGGUACCUAAUCAGAAAGCCACGGCUAACUACGUG